AUUGAAGUUCUUUUUCUGGCGUGCAGAGGUUAGUUUGGUCCAACGAUUGUCAAGUACACUGAACGAUACCAGAACAUGUACGUCUACAGACACUCGGAGGGCAGUGGUGGUGGGGUGACGGUCAUACCGAGGUGACACUAGGAUUCUGCUGUUAUGAUGUCCAGCUUGAUGGUCCAACCUGUGAAGUUUUGGCCGUAGCCAACCGACACUUGGCCAAUGGCGGCAUGGACUGUCCCACUAGCCUUGUGAAGCCUUGUGAAGAUCGGAUUCUCCUUCCGAAGUCAAUAAAAC